GACGAACGCUGGCGGCGGGCUUAACACAUGCAAGUCGAACGGAAAGGCCCUGCUUUUGUGGGGUGCUCGAGUGGCGAACGGGUGAGUAACACGGGAGUAACCUGCCCUUGACUUUGGGAUAACUUCAGGAAACUGGGGCUAAUACCGGAUAGGAGCUCCUGCUGCAUGGGGGGGGUUGGAAAGUUUCGGCGGAUGGGGAUGGACGCGCGGCUUAUCAGCUGGUUGGUGGGGUAGUGGCUUACCAAGGCUUCGACGGGUAGCCGGCCUGGGAGGGUGACCGGCCACCUUGGUCCUGCGGUACGGCGCAGUCUCCUACGGGGGGCAGCAGUCGAGAAUCUUGCCCAGUGGGCGGAAGCCUGUUGCAGCAGCGCCGCGUUCGGGAUGCCGGCCUUCGGGUUGUGAACCGCAUUCGCCUGUGACGAAGCUUGAGUGACGGUACUGGGUAAAGAAGCACCGGCUAACUACGUG
rnacentral:rRNA from 1 species